UCAAUUGUUCACAGCCACGCUUCUGCCAAGCUCCGUUCGGAGGCGUCAAAUGGAGCGGCUUUGGGCGUGAACUAGGGGAAUGGGGACUCGAAAACUACUCGAGUGUGAAACAGGUGACAGAGUAUGUCUCCGAUGAACAAUGGGGUUUGUACGAGCCUCCGAAGCAAUGAAGUCCAUCAAGGAAAUACA